GAGCUAGCGUUAUUCGGAAUUACUGGGCGUAAAGCGCACGUAGGCGGCUUNGUAAGUAAGAGGUGAAAGCCUUGUGCUCAACACCAGAACUGCCUUUUAGACUGCUUCGCUUGARUCCGGGAGAGGUGAGUGGAAUUCCCAGUGUAGAGGUGAAAUUCGUAGAUAUUCGGAAGAACACCAGUGGCGAAGGCGGCUYCCUGGACYGGUAUUGACGCUGAGGUGCGAAAGCAUGGGKAGCAAACAGGAUUAGAUACCCUGGUAGUCCACGCCGUAAACGAUGAUAACUAGCUGUCGGGGCUCUUAGAGCUUCGGUGGCGCAGCUAACGCAUUAAGYUAUCCGCCUGGGGAGUACGGCCGCAAGGUUAAAACUCAAAKGAAUUGACGGGGGCCUGCACAAGCGGUGGAGCAUGUGGUUUAAUUCG
rnacentral:rRNA from 1 species